UACAGAGGUCUCAAGCGUUGUUCGGAUUCAUUGGGCGUAAAGGGUGCGUAGGUGGCGCCGUAAGUCAGGUGUGAAAUCUCGGGGCUCAACCCCGAAACUGCACUUGAUACUGCGGUGCUCGAGUACUGGAGAGGAGAUUGGAAUUUACGGUGUAGCAGUGAAAUGCGUAGAUAUCGUAAGGAACGCCAGUGGCGAAAGCGAAUCUCUGGGCAGCAACUGACGCUGAGGCACGAAGGCCAGGGGAGCAAACGGG
rnacentral:rRNA from 1 species